UACGUAGGGUGCAAGCGUUGUCCGGAAUUAUUGGGCGUAAAGAGCUCGUAGGCGGCCAACUAAGUCAGACGUGAAAUCCCUCGGCUUAACCGGGGAACUGCGUCUGAUACUGGAUGGCUUGAGGUUGGGAGAGGGAUGCGGAAUUCCAGGUGUAGCGGUGAAAUGCGUAGAUAUCUGGAGGAACACCGGUGGCGAAGGCGGCAUCCUGGACCAAUUCUGACGCUGAGGAGCGAAAGCCAGGGGAGCAAACGGG
rnacentral:rRNA from 1 species